rfam:Ictidomys tridecemlineatus contig128291, whole genome shotgun sequence.
GGGGUUGUGGCUCAGUGGUAGAGCACUUGCCUUGCACGUGUGAGGAACUGGGUUCAAGUCUCAGCAUCACAU